UGAACGCUGGCGGCAUGCCUUACACAUGCAAGUCGCACGGCAGCGCGGGAGCAAUCCUGGCGGCGAGUGGCGAACGGGUGAGUAAUACAUCGGAACGUGCCCAAUCGUGGGGGAUAACGCAGCGAAAGCUGUGCUAAUACCGCAUACGAUCUACGGAUGAAAGCAGGGGAUCGCAAGACCUUGCGCGAAUGGAGCGGCCGAUGGCAGAUUAGGUAGUUGGUGAGGUAAAGGCUCACCAAGCCUUCGAUCUGUAGCUGGUCUGAGAGGACGACCAGCCACACUGGGACUGAGACACGGCCCAGACUCCUACGGGAGGCAGCAGUGGGGAAUUUUGGACAAUGGGCGAAAGCCUGAUCCAGCCAUGCCGCGUGCAGGAUGAAGGCCUUCGGGUUGUAAACUGCUUUUGUACGGAACGAAACGGUCUUUUCUAAUAAAGAAGGCUAAUGACGGUACCGUAAGAAUAAGCACCGGCUAACUACGUG
rnacentral:rRNA from 1 species